CCUGGCGUCAUACGUCACGGGCAGGUGUGACCAAUCCGAGGCGACGGCUGGCUGCCACCGCCAAGCUUGUGUGCGGAGCUCAGCGGAAGUGAGCGCUUCACUCUCAUUCAUCCACAAGCGGUUUGUUUUGCAGUUUGACAGAGCAGCGCGACACACUCCUGAGUCUGGAAGAGCAAGGGGUGCUGCAGUCUGAAGUCCAGCCUUGAGAAGAACCGCAGGUCUGGACGGGCGUUUGACGAUUGAAGCCCAAACCUGCUCUGUGGCCUGACCUGACAGGUAGUUUUGCAUUUUUAGACCAAGCCUGUUUUUAUUUUGCAUCUGACCAGAUCACACAUGCUUAUUAUGUUCAUAAUUUUUUAUAAUGAUCAUUUAUUUUAAUUGGAAGAUUUGAAGACUUUUAUUUACUCUUCAGGCAUUAAAGUUUUUCUCGAAUGCUAACACACUAUAACUAACUUGUUUGGCACAAUUUUCCAAACCAUUCAUACAGUUCCUGAAACAAAGACACGUUUCUCAAAACAUUUACCACCUGUUUGCACACACGCUUCUGUUUGCUC
rnacentral:lncRNA from 1 species